rnacentral:rRNA from 1 species
CCUACGGGAGGCAGCAGUGAGGAAUAUUGGACAAUGGGCGAGAGCCUGAUCCAGCCAUGCCGCGUGCAGGAAGACGGCCCUAUGGGUUGUAAACUGCUUUUAUACGGGAAGAAACACUCCUUCGUGAAGGAGCUUGACGGUACCGUAAGAAUAAGGAUCGGCUAACUCCGUGCCAGCAGCCGCGGUAAUACGGAGGAUCCAAGCGUUAUCCGGAAUCAUUGGGUUUAAAGGGUCCGUAGGCGGGACAAUAAGUCAGCGGUGAAAGUCUGUGGCUCAACCAUAGAAUUGCCAUUGAUACUGUUGUUCUUGAGUGUUUAUGAAGUGGUUGGAAUAUGUAGUGUAGCGGUGAAAUGCAUAGAUAUUACAUAGAACACCGAUUGCGAAGGCAGAUCACUAAUAAAUACUGACGCUGAUGGACGAAAGCGUAGGUAGCGAACAGGAUUAGAUACCCUGGUAGUCUACGCCGUAAACGAUGGUUACUAGCUGUUCGGUCGCAAGACUGAGUGGCUAAGCGAAAGUGAUAAGUAACCCACCUGGGGAGUACGUUCGCAAGAAUGAAACUCAAAGGAAUUGACGGGGGCCCGCACAAGCGGUGGAGCAUGUGGUUUAACUCGAUGAUACGCGAGGAACCUUACCAGGGCUUAAAUGUAGUCUGACAGGGCUGGAAACAGCUUUUCCUUCGGGCAGAUUACAAGGUGCUGCAUGGUUGUCGUCAGCUCGUGCCGUGAGGUGUCAGGUUAAGUCCUAUAACGAGCGCAACCCCUGUUGUUAGUUGCCAGCGAGUCAUGUCGGGAACUCUAACAAGACUGCCGGUGCAACCGUGAGGAAGGGGGGGAUGACGUCAAAUCAUCACGGCCCUUACGUCCUGGGCCACACACGUGCUACAAUGGUAAAGGACAGAGAGCAGCCACUGGGGUGACCAGGAGCGAAUCUAUAAACCUUAUCACAGUUCGGGAUCGGAGUCUGCACUCGACUCCGUGAAGCUGGAUCGCUAGUAUCGCAUAUCAGCCAUGACGCGUGAAUACGUUUCCGGG